GUCUCCUUAGAGACAUCUGAUAAAAAUUGGAAUGAUAUAGAGAGAUUAGCAUAACUGCUGUGCAAUGGCGACAUGCACUAACUGAGAAACAAUCAUGUU
rnacentral:snRNA from 1 species